UGUUAUAGUCAUUGUAUUCAUUUAAUGCAGCUUUAAGUGCAGACUGAUUUGAAAGUCAGCACUGCAGUUUCAGCAAAUAUGAAUGUUUUAUUUUAUAUAUAUUUUUAAAAAAGUAACCUACUGCAGCUUUAAGGUUCCAUUCCAUUCCGGUCCGAGUCUGGGUCCUGCUAUUGUGCACUACUCUGCCGCACUUAAUGAACAAACCCUUGGUAACAUCUGUGUUUACCCUCUUAGUUUAUGUCAAAAUGGCUGCUGUGAAAAAGGUUUGUAAGCCGACUUACAUUAAAAACAAAAUCUGACAUGAUUUUCACUGUGAUGCUUUUAUUUCUCCAAAUGUCUUCAAGUUGAUCUGCUGGAUCACAGCAGCCAUUUUGGCAUAUAAUAGUAGGGUAAACACAGGUGUUACCAAUGAUACUAAUAAAGGUUCCGUUCCAUUUUUUCAAAAAGAUCUAUUGUUGGUAGUAAUGUCAUUUAUACUUGACUCGCGCUAAAUGGGAUAAACAGCUGCCCGGCCUUCCUCUAACUUGUUAGACAGGUGUGCCACCGCCAGUUAACCUCCCGACUGCAAACACACAUGUCCUCAUCUUUUGCCCUCUUUAUACGUCCCACCACACCACGAGCCUUCGUCGGCGCCCGGGUUUGGGAACCGUUGUUUGAAAUGAUUUUGUACUGUGAACACAUCAAGUAUAUUUUGUUAAUAUGUACAAUAAACAUUUUAUGAGGCACAAAGAAAGGAUCUCAACCCUCAUCCUUGUUAGCUAAGUUCUACCAGCGUACAUUGUUGGGGUGGUCUUUUGUCAUUAAUGGUCACAGCAAUAAAAUAAGACUCCAUCUGGUACAUAUUAUCCAUAAAAGGUGGCCUGAGCACGUGUGUUAGCCAUUGCCUGGAGCAUGUCAGUGUGGUUUUGCCUCUGCUAAAUUGGCAAAUUACCCGGCAGGUGACAGAAAUGCACUAGGAAUAACAAUCUAUGCACUUUGUUUUUUACUGAAGUACCACAGAAUUAUUCAUUGUUGCAGGGUGCAUUAUUUUGGAAUGGCAAGAUUUUCUGUUUACAGUACAUGACACAUUGCAACACAAAAAAAUGUACUGUAUGCAUACAGAUGUGCAUAUUGACUUUCCCCAGUAAACCUUUACCUGCUGUUGAAAUCUGAAUGGAGCUCAGUGCAGCAGUCAGUGGCAACAAAAGAGUACAAUAAAACAGAUUUGUAUUUGUCCCAUUAAUGCAUGUUACUAACUUCACUUCUUCCCCGGAGUUCUUGUGCUUUCUCGUCUCGCAGGUUCUUAUCGAUCCUGGUGGAGCCUCCUGCCAUGGUCCUGCUAGAUUGCCAUUGCCAAUACUGUUGUUGCUGUACACCUGUCUGUCUGUCUGUCUGUCUGUCUGUCUGUCUCUCUCUCUCUCUCUGUCUCUCUCUCUCUCUCACCCCAACUCGACCACCCACCUAGAGCCGAAGGAUCUGUCCUAGGUUUCUGCCUUUUAACAGGCAGUUUUUCCUUGCCCUUGUCGCCAAGUGCUUGCUCAUGGUGGUACUGUUGGGUCUCUGUAAAUAAUGUUAUAAAGAGUUCGGUCUGGACCUACUCUAUUUGAAAAGUGUCCUGAGAUAACUUCUGUUAUGAAUUGGCGCUAUACAAAUAAAAUUGAAUUGAAUUGAA